UAAAAACAUGAAAUGAGUUCUGGUAUUUACUACAUUAUUUUGGUUAAAAAGAUGAAGCAGUGUUUCUUUAUAACACCUACUAUGCUUUAGUCAAAUUUGAAAGCAAGCUGUGUACUUUGUUCUACAAGUCAGAUUCUGGAAAAGAUACAAUGAAACAUAAAUAUGUCAGCUACAGUCAAAACUCAUCUGUAAAAUAAUUAAUAAACAAUACAGUUGGAAUUCUGGGUGUCUUUAUAUUCAAGUCAGCCACACACAGCCUUAUCACUUAAUUUAGAUUCUAAUGAAAUCAGACUUCAUUUAAAUGGAGAUAGAGCUGACUUUCACUACAGUGGUAGCUCUUCUCAGUGGAGGUGUAUAUGUAGGGUUAGGAGCAGAGAUGGAAGUACACAGCAAAAUGUAUCAGAAACACCUGAGAACUUGCACAGAACUAGCCAUUUCCUCCUUCCACAGAUAGAUUAGAAUUAGUUAGAGAGGGCAGGUGUGGCACAAAGGACUUCUGUCUUUUGAAAAAGUUCCUCAAAUGGUUCUCAUAUAUCUUUACCAGCCGUAUCCCUCCAGUUGAGAACCAAAAGGAUGGCUAAUUGCAGGAUGGCAAGGGUCAUUGAGGAGGUUACAAUGGACCUAAGUGAUUAGAGAACAAUUGAGAUGAACAAACUUCUCAGUGCUAUAGAGUACUAUUAAAGGAAUCCCUUGGGCAUGUUCCACUGAAACCAUCAUGAAGCUGAAGCAGCCCUCUCCGCCUGCAGGACCUUCGUGGGCCAUGCUGAAUGGAUUGUGCACACAUAUGUUUAAUUGACAAGUCAACAGAAAACUGGAAGUUGAUGAGUUGGCUUUGGGCGUAUGUCUUCCUUCCAUCAACCUCCCAUCCCUCCUUUGUAUGUGUUUGUCUCCACUUGACAAGGGCAACUGCGACACUUCAGCAGCUGAACUUGCCAUUUUGGUCUCUUCUGCUUAGCUAGACCCCACUGACAUAAAUGGGUGAUUUCAAUAAGCAAA
rnacentral:lncRNA from 1 species